GAACGAUUAGAUAUGAUAUUUGAAAGCCAAAAAAAUGCAAUUACUUAUCCAAAAACAUGAUUUUCGAUAAUUCGUCUCAUAGUAACACUGAGUCUUUGGGACCGACUUACCCACUUUUCUUCACCAUCGUUCAUGACCCAGUCGCCAGCACGAAAAGGAAUUUCAUGAAACCAGUCAUACCGUGCUGUCCCACUCAUUAAAAGCAGACUUCCCUUUUCUAAUCGGAUUUUACUUUUCAAUUUUAACUCAGGAUGUGUAAAAAUCAUGGUUGUAUUUGAUAAGAACGAAAAGAUCGCUACGCCGUCACCAAACAUUUCUAAGUCUUUAUGUGGUAUAAUUCCAUCACCUGGAUUAUAAACUUGCAUGAUGAUGGCUUCAGCAUCCUGUCCUUUCCACAACCUUUGUUUAAAGUCACUAGGGAUAUAAUCAUUUAAACAGUUAAUAUGUGCCGGAAAAGGUAUAUACAGAUGCGACUGCUUUCCAGAACCAUAUAUUGAAAGAAGUUCCUUAGGAACGUUAUUAAUCAGAUUUCUUUGGACAGAUUCGGGAAGACAGUUAGGAUAAUAGUUUAUACCCUCAAUCGUCUCAACUGGUACCACCGUCCAAUUUUCAAAGUCAUCCAAGUAAUCAUCUUUCUCCUGAUCUACUUCUAGCAAAGCUUCAUCAAAUUCCAAACCAGCGUCUGACAGCAGAAACGAAUCGCUCAUAUUUUCAUACAACAUUUUCUAAACUGAAACGAAAAGAUUGCUAAACUAUCCGUAGCAUCUGUUCUAUGUUCACUUUGAAAUUUUGUUAGAAAGCAAUUUCUCCGUUUUUACAACUAAGAUUCAGAUCACCAGUUAAAUGAAACUGUCUAGAAAAUUGGGUUCUUGAAUUAUGAACGCGGUUUCGCCAAAUAAAUCUCAUGUUUUUCUACCACAUCCUUCCCAACAUUGUUACCUAAACAUAUUUAACAACCCCAUUUGAACGGUGAACAAGUUUUUAAAAACCUUAGUAUUAGAGUAGUAUUAUUCAUAUAAGUAAAUUUUAGAAAACUAGUUGUUGGAUUCAAAGGUUUCUCUCAUGUGGUGUGGAGAACGAAAAAAGCGAUUUUGGCGUUAGAAUUGAUGAGCGAGGCACUUUUGGGAGGGUUUGAAAUAAUUAAAAUUAUUCAUUUUCAUCAAAUCACAGUAAGUAGAUCAGUGCGAUUUUACAGUGAGUCUUGGAUGUUCAUCUUUUUUACUUGUAAGCUCUUAAAAUAUCGUAGAAUUA